rnacentral:lncRNA from 1 species
CAUACUUUUCUGAAAGUCCCAUACAUGAUGAGCAGAUCAACCACCAUAAGACAUAUAGCCAGAAAAUCCAAGAAAAGAAUUUCGGUGAAAAGGCUGCCAACUCUCUUUGGCUGCUUACGCAAUGAUAAAGAUAUGAAAAAGCACUCUGAGAGACCUGGCCUAUAUACGAUACCACUCAGUCACCAGCUCCACAAUACACAAGCUACGUAUGUUGGAGUAACUAGUAGAACUUUAAAGCAGUGACUUGCGGAGCACAAAUGAGACAUUAGGACUGGAAAAAUGACAACAGCGCUCACAGAACAUAUGCGGAUGACAUAACAAUAGAUUGGGAUAGAGCGCAAAUAGUCAAACCGAUUUACAGCUCCAACACAGCCAUUACGCAAGAGACACUGGAGAUAUUGACUAGCAGAAAAAAGCAGAUCAUCAUAAAUGACAGACCCACGACUGAUUUACCGGAAGCUUGGACUUUUUUAUUGAAGAAGAACGGAAAAAUAUAAUCGAC